rnacentral:rRNA from 1 species
UGGGGAAUAUUGGACAAUGGGCGCAAGCCUGAUCCAGCCAUGCCGCGUGAAUGAUGAAGGCCUUCGGGUUGUAAAGUUCUUUUAGUAGGGAAAAUAAUGAUGGUACCUACAGAAAAAGCCCCGGCUAACUUCGUGCCAGCAGCCGCGGUAAUACGAAGGGGGCUAGCGUUGUUCGGAAUUACUGGGCGUAAAGCGUUUGUAGGCGGUUAUUUAAGCCAGUGGUGAAAGCCCGGGGCUCAACUCCGGAAUUGCCAUUGGUACUGGAUAGCUAGAGAGUGUUAGAGGUUAGUGGAAUUCCUAGUGUAGGAGUGAAAUCCGUAGAGAUUAGGAGGAAUAUCGAUGGCGAAGGCAGCUAACUGGGACAUUGCUGACGCUGAGAAACGAAAGCGUGGGUAGCAAACAG